UACGUAGGGUGCAAGCGUUAAUCGGAAUUACUGGGCGUAAAGCGUACGCAGGCGGCUUUGCAAGACAGGUGUGAAAUCCCCGGGCCUAACCUGGGAACUGCAUUUGUGACUGCAUGGCUAGAGUUUGUCAGAGGGGGGUGGAAUUCCACGUGUAGCAGUGAAAUGCGUAGAUAUGUGGAGGAACACCGAUGGCGAAGGCAGCCCCCUGGGAUGUGACUGACGCUCAUGUACGGAAGCGUGGGGAGCAAACAGG
rnacentral:rRNA from 1 species